rnacentral:rRNA from 1 species
GAUGAACGCUGGCGGCGUGCCUAAUACAUGCAAGUCGAGCGAACAGACGAGGAGCUUGCUCCUCUGACGUUAGCGGCGGACGGGUGAGUAACACGUGGAUAACCUACCUAUAAGACUGGGAUAACUUCGGGAAACCGGAGCUAAUACCGGAUAAUAUAUUGAACCGCAUGGUUCAAUAGUGAAAGACGGUUUUGCUGUCACUUAUAGAUGGAUCCGCGCCGCAUUAGCUAGUUGGUAAGGUAACGGCUUACCAAGGCAACGAUGCGUAGCCGACCUGAGAGGGUGAUCGGCCACCCUGGACCUGGGCCACGGUCCGGACUCCUACGGGAGGCAGCAGUGGGAAAUCUUCCGCAAUGGGCGAAAGCCUGACGAGGCAACGCGGCGUGGGUGAUGAAGGUCUUCGGUUCGUAAACCUCUGUUAUAGGGGAAGAACAAAUGUGUAAGUAACUAUGCCCGUCUUGACGGUACCUAAUCAGAAGGCCCCGGCUACCUCCUU